rnacentral:rRNA from 1 species
AGAAUCAACGCUGGCGGCGUGCCUAACACAUGCAAGUCGCACGAGAAAGUGGAGCAAUCCAUGAGUACAGUGGCGCACGGGUGAGUAACACGUGAAUAAUCUACCUCCGAGUGGGGAAUAACUGAGAGAAAUCUUAGCUAAUACCGCAUAAUACCCACGGGUCAAAGCAGCAAUGCGCUUGGAGAGGAGUUCGCGGCCGAUUAGCUAGUUGGCGGGGUAAUGGCCCACCAAGGCGAUGAUCGGUAUCC